rnacentral:rRNA from 1 species
UACGUAGGGAGCAAGCGUUGUUCGGAUUUACUGGGCGUAAAGGGCGCGUAGGCGGCGCGGUAAGUCACUUGUGAAAUCUCUGAGCUUAACUCAGAACGGCCAAGUGAUACUGUCGGACUAGAGUACAGAAGGGGCAACUGGAAUUCUCGGUGUAGCGGUGAAAUGCGUAGAUAUCGAGAGGAACACCUGCGGCGAAGGCGGGUUGCUGGGCUGAUACUGACGCUGAGGCGCGAAAGCCAGGGGAGCGAACGGG